AGAUUUUUAGAAUUCUUGGCACACCAAAUGAAACAAUUUGGCUUGGGUUCUCAGAAUUACCCCAAGUCAAGGUCAAUUUUGUUAAGAAUAAGUAAGUUAUUAAAAUUUCCUUUAUUUAAGAAUUUUACUGUUUAGCUCCCCUGUUCUUAUAUUUUGUCACUGUUUUCUCAAGCUUUUCAACUCUGGGUGGUUCUAGUCUGGGUAUAAUCUCCUGCACAAAAAAUUUCCCGUAACAUCAUUCACCGGAUCACUAGUUCUUUUCGAUUUGUUGAACAAGCUUUUAACUUAUGACCAUGAAAAGGCAAAUAAGAAGAAUAUUAAAGAGUCCAAAUCCAUUAGAAGAGCAACACUGGAAGGAGAUGUAGCAUGGCGAAUCAGGACUGGUGGUAUUUUUGUUAAGAAUGCUGCAAUUUAAUUUUUGGUUCACAAUAAUCAUUCUAACAUGAUUUACUGAAUGGUUGCACACUUGAGGUGACACUAAGUGCCAAAUGGACAUUGCAAAUUUUGAUUGUUAGACAAUCACUUGUGUGAUUUUUUUAUCAGGCAUUUCUUGUUGGUUUGUGUCGAGAAAUGUAUUCUUUACUUCCUUGGAGCCAUAUCUAUUUCAGGUUAACCUCUGUAUGCUUUAUCAUUAUAUUGAAAUACACACGAGGCACAACUUGCGCAUAAAGUGUGGCAUAUUUGCCUUCUGAAAAUAGUAAUAGUCAGUAUCUACUGAAAGUUGUAUAUGUAACAUUUUCAUUGUGUAAUCAAUUUAAACUGUUUUUGAGUAUUAAAGCAACAUGGAUUUUCUCAUAGCUAUAAGUUCUUUUGCUUUUUUAAUGUUCAUAUCAUGUUUGCAAGAGACAGUUGUCACAUGAAGUGGAAGAGUGCAUUCUGUCAUUUAGUUGAAGAAAAUGACAGUAACUUUUUAAUUCCAAGGUAUUGCUUUUCUUUGAGAGUAACUUUUUAAUUCCAAGGUAAUGCAUUUCUUGGAUUUGGUACCAUAAUCUUUGGGGCAUUAUUCAAUGACAAACUUGUCGUAAUUUUCACCCCAGCCUAUCUGAAUUGGCUAUCAAGGUUAAUGUCUGAUAAGACUAUGCAGGAUAUGUCACAAACUUUGUGCAAGCAUGUCAAUCAAGAGAGUGAAUGCAUUUGCUGCUAACAAUUAUAACAACCUUGUCUGUUAAUUGCCAUUUUGUUGAAAGGCUUGUUAUGCGCCAUUUUCUAAAGAUUAAGGAUAGAAAUCAAUUAGACGCCAGGACCAUAAUGGUAAAAUGCAGUAUAUCCUCAAAAUCUUCAUAUAGUAAAUUACCAGUGAAUUAUGAACUUAAUUAUUAAUCAUGAAUAGAACUAUUGGACCUUAAAUAUUGAUAUUGUUAUCUGAAUUUUGAGAACUCCUUUGCAAUCUCUCUGUUUACAAAUCAAAAGUCUAAGACUUGGAAGUAUAUUUGAGUUCUUGUGUAGGGCUUUGUAGUCUCUUGAGAUACUCGCAGUAAUGAGGAUGAGAAUGUCACUAUUCUAGGGCACUAUUUGACAAUGCUUCCUAUGGAACCCAAACUUUGGUAGAUGCUAAUAUUAGGUGCUAUUUUGAAUUGUUUGGAUCCCAUAUUAACUGUUGUUGUUGGGCUUAACAUGAGAGAUCCUUUUCUAACACCAUUGGAUAAAAAAGAUAUAUUGAGAAACAAGACAUUGACCGUGCAAUUGCUCUUUCUCUGUCAGAGGAGGAUCAUAAAGGGAAAAAAGUUGUUGGUAAGAUUUAUGCUUUUGCAUCUUGGUAGUUAAAGUUCAUUUCCUGGUUAGUUUAGCUCAAAUUGUAUGUUGUUAUGAUUUUGCACUCAAAUUGUAUGUUAUUAUUCUACAUACUGCAUAUGAGGUACCUAAACUCAAAGAUGUGAAUCUAACCAAAAUGCUCGUUGAUUUAUGUUCGGGUGGUCGACAAGUGUACCAAUUUUCACAAGUAGUAUAUAAAACGGUAAGACCGAGUAUCGUAUCCACAGAGAAUUUGUUUCAUCUAAAAUAUUUAUAUUCAGUAUGUAAACACUUUUAAAGCUCGGAAUAAAACAAAUAUUGAG